AUGUUCAACAGCUUAGGCAUUUUAGUACAGAGUGGAUUAUUGAGGCAGACCCUGAUGGAAAACUUGCACAUGUUCCACAAACCAGUGAAGACCAUUUUGCAGAAUAUAAACUUUUUCCGCAGAUAAGCCAAGACCCUAAUGGUGUUCAUGUGUGUGUGGUUAAUUAUUUGCUCUGAAGCUGAUAUGUGGACUGAAUAUAAAACUGUUUUUUUCUACAGUUAAGUCCAUCUUAAUCUGAAAAUACUACCGGUACAUUUUGAAUUAUGCUUUAUUAUGCAGAAAAAAAAAUAAUUAGUUUCAAAUAUGAAAAGUCUGUUGAUACACUGCUUUGCAAUUCAAAAAGUGAUAAUGUGAUAAGUUUUGAUGUGAAUAUGUGACAUGUGCCAUUAUCAAUUUUCAUAAAUAAAAUCAAAUACAAAGGCCA